ACACAUGAGCAGGACAUAUUGCAAAGUUGCCUUCAAGAUUUCUCAUGUAUAUAAGUUAUACCUGAAUGACUAUUUUUAAAAAAGAAACCUUCAGAAAAAGGUAGCAGUCUUCAUCUGUUGUAGCAAAAUCAACAAUGAGCCUUGAGACCCUUUAAAGCAUGACAGAUUUUUUUGUGGACUUGAGCCCACUUCACCAGAUGCAUGAAGGUAUUGUCCUUAAUUGGCAGAAAUAUAAAAUACAUGGGUAUAGAGGAAGCAGCGGGACCAAAUGGCCAUGAAAGGGAAGGUAUAUUUUCUGACAAUUCUUUGUAAAGGUUAAACGUAUACUGUAUUUGCAAAAGCAGUAAUAUGCACUAGCCAGGAAUUUGUACUCACGAAUUACUGCUACUGUGAAUGGACACUGUACUUGUGCGUUUGUAACCAAACCAUGGUAUUGCUAAGCCCAAACCAUGGGUAAAUGUGAACAGGCAAGUAUGUGGUACUUGCAGCAAAAAUUGCAGCAACUUUUUUUCUUUCCUCAGUCUUGCUGCUGAACUUCCCAGAGCUAAGCCAUGGUUUAGCUUAGCAUUGUUUCCAACCUGGGUUCAUGGUUUGUCCAGGGAAGACAAACUAGGAGUCAGGGUUUGAACACAGCACUAUACCAGGCUAUGGCUAGACUUUGGGGAGUGUGUCAGCAGCAGGGCUAAAGGAGCAGAGUGGCCAUGAAUACUUUUUGUGUGUACCUGUAUGCUUGUCCACACUUAGCUUGUUCACACUUAGUUUGAUGUAUCAUCAUGUGCAAACUGGGCCAAUUGUAUUUCAUGGCUAUCAGACCUCAUUGUUCACCAUUUUUUUGAGUUUAUACACAUGCACACACAAUUCCAACUGAGGAUAACUCUUCAUGUAUUUGAUGAAGUCUACCCUAGUCCAUUAAAGAUUAUGCCACAAUAAAUACGUUGGGUUUUAAAACGUCACAAAGCUGCUUGUUAGAUCUUGAAUGGGUGCUGAAUGUGGGGAGAAUCAAGGAUUAACACACACACCCCAAUGGCUUCUGUUGUCUGAGAAACAGCAAAAUGUGGUCUCAUCCGAUGAACAGAACUUGCUGAGAAGACAGGACUGGUAAUAAUUAUGGCACCGCUCAAACUGCACUCUACACUUGAUGUUUUUUGCUUGCUAAAUAUGAACAAACUGAAUUAAUCUAUUUUUUGUGUGUGGCCAUUUGAAGCCUUAGUACAUUGCAAGAAGGAUUAAUUUGUAUAUAAUUUUAUUAAGCUUUCUGUUUUACAAUUUAAAAUACUCAUUUUACAUCCUCAAGAUAUCAGUGACUUCCCUCCUUUUCUUUCCCUGGUUCAUUUUACAUAUCAUAAAUCCCUGCAUAUUUUACAAAAACGGCAUAUUUUAUCAUAAAUCCCUGCAUAUUUUACAAAAUCCAGUAUUCCAUUAUUGCAUCCAUCAAAACCUGUUUACACUGUUGGAUUUCUCUUAAUGCUGCCAGUGUUUUCAGCAGCACACAAUUACUUCCCGUAUAUUCAAUAAACAUUUUCCAAUCUUCUUUAAAUAUAUAUUGUUUUUGUUCUCUUACUCUAUAUGUUAAGUCUGCGAGUUGUGCAUAUUUUGUCAACUUAAGUUGUCAUUCUUCUUCAGUUGGGACCUCACUCGUUUUCCAUUUUGGGGCUAACAAAACACGGGCCGCAGUAGUAGCAUACAUAAAUAGAAGGGUUAAUUUGGGUUUGGGGUUUUGUUUGUUUUGCUUCAAACAGUAAAUACUUUUUUUCAUCUAGCUAAGUUCCUUGUGUCUUUUUGACAAUUUCUUUUUGACAUUUUUUUACAAAUGAGGGAAAGUUCAGAACAGCUUGAAGGCUGGUAUUUUGGCAUUAAGUCUUUUUGCUAUGCGGUUGGUCAAUGGCACAAUUGGCACAUGCUCUAGUGAUCAGUGUACCACUUUAAGUCUAUCAUUUGCAUAUGUUUCAGGAAGGGUGUGUUGGUUUUAAAACAUUCUUUCAGAAGGAGGAAGAGAGUUUGUAGUGCAUCUCUCUAUCUGCUGUGUAGUCUCUUUCUUUCUUUCUUUCUUUCUUUCUUUCUUUCUUUCUUUCUUUCUUUCUUUCUUUCUUUCUUUCAUGUGACUUUUAAAAUCGUUGUUUUCCCCCCUGCACAGCAUCCUCCGCUCACCAAACUUGAAAUGACUAGAACAUUUCUAGACAACAGUCUUGCAGUUCAACAAAUGCUGCACAGUUGCUACAUAUUAUUUGCACAGGAUCUAGUCACCUUCACUUAGAAAUCACUUCUGGUCAUAUCACACUUUUCUAAGUGCUCGGAGAGCAAUAGCUUUGCUCAGGGCUUUUUUUUUCUCCAGCCGGAACUUGCUGGAACUCAGUUCCAGCACCUCGCAAGUAGGCGCCAUUGCCAUUAUAAGAGAACCAGGGAAGCAUUCAUGGUAAGUUCCGGCACCUCUUUUUCUAGAAAAAUAGCACUGACUUUCUGGGGAAAUGUGAUUAUUUCCCAUAAGAAGUUGAAUCAUUUUGAUCUUGGAGGGCUAUCUGAAAUGAGUUGUCGGGUAUCUUCUUCCUUGCUAUUAUUAUUAUUGUUUGUUUGUUUGUUUACCCUAACACUUGUGCUUAGCCAGAAAAUAAAGGGCUUUUAAGGAAGCUGAACCUUGACUAGUCGGUCGCAGGUCAAAAGCAAGGUGUGAUUAUGGUGGGCUUUGCUAGGCAGACACAACAAACAAGUGUCUCUCCUUAGGAGAGUGAUAGCAGGAGCUAAUGCCACUUGUUUUUGGUUUCAGAGUUGGAUGCCACUUAGCUGACAGUAUAGCCAGAGCAUAGUAAAAGAAUUAGAAAACAUCAAGGGUGCUUUUAGAUGUGGUGAACAUUGUGUUGGUUUUCCUGAUCAUAAUGCUAGUGGCUCUGUCUCAAUUUCUAAUGUUCCUUUCACACUGCAGCACUUAUUGCAGGGGCAGCAUCUCAUGUGUGCCAAGCUAUUGCCCCCCACAAUAAAUUUUAUUUGGAGGGGGCAGGUCCCUCCAAUGUUCCAAGCGAUUAGGGGGUGCAGAGGAGGAGGCUGAGUGCAGAGCUGAGCGUAGCACAGCUUCUGUGGUUGUCUCCUCUUCCUGCCAUGGAAAGAGGCCCCAGCUCCAUCGCAGUGUCGUGCAUGUGACGUCAUACACGUGUCGUGAUGCUACAGGCCCCCCCAACAAAAAUUGUAGCGUGAUUUGGCACCUCUGACUUACUUUCUUAUAAAAAUGUGACUUGACUCAUAUAAUGGUGCAUCACACUGAAUUUCAUUCACACCAGAGGGCAUGGUGUGACCCAACAACGAAUGUCAUUGGACAUCAUUUCUCCACAUGUGUGCUUCUGUUCCCCCAUGAUUCCCUCAUGAAAAUGGCAGGGAAGAACUGUCAAAUAAUGGUAUACCGCCCCAAUUUUGCCGCUUCAAACAGAAUUUUUUUUCCUGGAAUCGGAUUAAUGGAUUAUAUAGUUUUCAGGAAGUCAGGUGGGGAAACAUUGGGGAAACAGAGUAAACUGCCGUGUGAAUGCAUCCUAGCCUAGCAGCCACCUCCCAGGCUUCCUUUCCUAUUGUUAACCUGUCCUUUCCCCUAGGAUGGGAGGUAGUGUUUAUGUGCCUUUGUAUCAGGCACUGGGGGCAUGAAAGGGGAAAAUGAGGAGAGAGGGGGGAGGGCAGGCAAAGACCAUCACAUGUCUGUUCCCCUCAUCAUCUGCUGCUUCCAUACCAUAUGUUAUUUAAAGGAACUAAAUGUUCUUCAUGUGUGGGAAGUUUCUUUGUUUGUUUAGUGUGUGUGUUUUUUGUUCGGUAUCAAAAUUCUGUUUUUCAGUCUGUUAGCUUCAUAAUUCUUCCCACCAUCACCACCCGCAUUUUCUCUUAAUGGGUCUUUAUUUCUUUUAUCCAUUUUGAUGUUUAAAUUGCAAGGUUUCUGCUGAAACGGUUGUGUUUUAUUAAUGUUGUAAGACAAAAAAAAAAAGCGGGGGUGUUUGUGCAGAACUAAUAAGCCACUUCUGCCCAGUUGAAUUUUAAU